rnacentral:rRNA from 1 species
GGGUUGUGAGGUUAAGCGACUAAGCGUACACGGUGGAUGCCCUGGCAGUCAGAGGCGAUGAAGGACGUGCUAAUCUGCGAUAAGCGUCGGUAAGGUGAUAUGAACCGUUAUAACCGGCGAUUUCCGAAUGGGGAAACCCAGUGUGUUUCGACACACUAUCAUUAACUGAAUCCAUAGGUUAAUGAGGCGAACCGGGGGAACUGAAACAUCUAAGUACCCCGAGGAAAAGAAAUCAACCGAGAUUCCCCCAGUAGCGGCGAGCGAACGGGGAGGAGCCCAGAGCCUGAAUCAGUGUGUGUGUUAGUGGAAGCGUCUGGAAAGGCGCGCGAUACAGGGUGACAGCCCCGUACACAAAAAUGCACAUAUUGUGAGCUCGAUGAGUAGGGCGGGACACGUGGUAUCCUGUCUGAAUAUGGGGGGACCAUCCUCCAAGGCUAAAUACUCCUGACUGACCGAUAGUGAACCAGUACCGUGAGGGAAAGGCGAAAAGAACCCCGGCGAGGGGAGUGAAAAAGAACCUGAAACCGUGUACGUACAAGCAGUGGGAGCACGCUUAGGCGUGUGACUGCGUACCUUUUGUAUAAUGGGUCAGCGACUUAUAUUCUGUAGCAAGGUUAACCGAAUAGGGGAGCCGGAGGGAAACCGAGUCUUAACUGGGCGUUAAGUUGCAGGGUAUAGACCCGAAACCCGGUGAUCUAGCCAUGGGCAGGUUGAAGGUUGGGUAACACUAACUGGAGGACCGAACCGACUAAUGUUGAAAAAUUAGCGGAUGACUUGUGGCUGGGGGUGAAAGGCCAAUCAAACCGGGAGAUAGCUGGUUCUCCCCGAAAGCUAUUUAGGUAGCGCCUCGUGAAUUCAUCUCCGGGGGUAGAGCACUGUUUCGGCAAGGGGGUCAUCCCGACUUACCAACCCGAUGCAAACUGCGAAUACCGGAGAAUGUUAUCACGGGAGACACACGGCGGGUGCUAACGUCCGUCGUGAAGAGGGAAACAACCCAGACCGCCAGCUAAGGUCCCAAAGUCAUGGUUAAGUGGGAAACGAUGUGGGAAGGCCCAGACAGCCAGGAUGUUGGCUUAGAAGCAGCCAUCAUUUAAAGAAAGCGUAAUAGCUCACUGGUCGAGUCGGCCUGCGCGGAAGAUGUAACGGGGCUAAACCAUGCACCGAAGCUGCGGCAGCGACGCUGAUGCGUUGUUGGGUAGGGGAGCGUUCUGUAAGCCUGUGAAGGUGUGCUGUGAGGCAUGCUGGAGGUAUCAGAAGUGCGAAUGCUGACAUAAGUAACGAUAAAGCGGGUGAAAAGCCCGCUCGCCGGAAGACCAAGGGUUCCUGUCCAACGUUAAUCGGGGCAGGGUGAGUCGACCCCUAAGGCGAGGCCGAAAGGCGUAGUCGAUGGGAAACAGGUUAAUAUUCCUGUACUUGGUGUUACUGCGAAGGGGGGACGGAGAAGGCUAUGUUGGCCGGGCGACGGUUGUCCCGGUUUAAGCGUGUAGGCUGGUUUUCCAGGCAAAUCCGGAAAAUCAAGGCUGAGGCGUGAUGACGAGGCACUACGGUGCUGAAGCAACAAAUGCCCUGCUUCCAGGAAAAGCCUCUAAGCAUCAGGUAACAUCAAAUCGUACCCCAAACCGACACAGGUGGUCAGGUAGAGAAUACCAAGGCGCUUGAGAGAACUCGGGUGAAGGAACUAGGCAAAAUGGUGCCGUAACUUCGGGAGAAGGCACGCUGAUAUGUAGGUGAAGCGACUUGCUCGUGGAGCUGAAAUCAGUCGAAGAUACCAGCUGGCUGCAACUGUUUAUUAAAAACACAGCACUGUGCAAACACGAAAGUGGACGUAUACGGUGUGACGCCUGCCCGGUGCCGGAAGGUUAAUUGAUGGGGUUAGCGCAAGCGAAGCUCUUGAUCGAAGCCCCGGUAAACGGCGGCCGUAACUAUAACGGUCCUAAGGUAGCGAAAUUCCUUGUCGGGUAAGUUCCGACCUGCACGAAUGGCGUAAUGAUGGCCAGGCUGUCUCCACCCGAGACUCAGUGAAAUUGAACUCGCUGUGAAGAUGCAGUGUACCCGCGGCAAGACGGAAAGACCCCGUGAACCUUUACUAUAGCUUGACACUGAACAUUGAGCCUUGAUGUGUAGGAUAGGUGGGAGGCUUUGAAGUGUGGACGCCAGUCUGCAUGGAGCCGACCUUGAAAUACCACCCUUUAAUGUUUGAUGUUCUAACGUUGACCCGUGAUCCGGGUUGCGGACAGUGUCUGGUGGGUAGUUUGACUGGGGCGGUCUCCUCCUAAAGAGUAACGGAGGAGCACGAAGGUUGGCUAAUCCUGGUCGGACAUCAGGAGGUUAGUGCAAUGGCAUAAGCCAGCUUGACUGCGAGCGUGACGGCGCGAGCAGGUGCGAAAGCAGGUCAUAGUGAUCCGGUGGUUCUGAAUGGAAGGGCCAUCGCUCAACGGAUAAAAGGUACUCCGGGGAUAACAGGCUGAUACCGCCCAAGAGUUCAUAUCGACGGCGGUGUUUGGCACCUCGAUGUCGGCUCAUCACAUCCUGGGGCUGAAGUAGGUCCCAAGGGUAUGGCUGUUCGCCAUUUAAAGUGGUACGCGAGCUGGGUUUAGAACGUCGUGAGACAGUUCGGUCCCUAUCUGCCGUGGGCGCUGGAGAACUGAGGGGGGCUGCUCCUAGUACGAGAGGACCGGAGUGGACGCAUCACUGGUGUUCGGGUUGUCAUGCCAAUGGCACUGCCCGGUAGCUAAAUGCGGAAGAGAUAAGUGCUGAAAGCAUCUAAGCACGAAACUUGCCCCGAGAUGAGUUCUCCCUGACUCCUUGAGAGUCCUGAAGGAACGUUGAAGACGACGACGUUGAUAGGCCGGGUGUGUAAGCGCAGCGAUGCGUUGAGCUAACCGGUACUAAUGAACCGUGAGGCUUAACCUUACAACGCCGAAGGUGUUU